GUCUCUUCGGAGACAUCCGAUAAAAUUGGAACAAUAUAGAGAAUAUUAGCAUGGCCUCUACUCAAAGAUGACAUGCACAAAUCAAGAAAUGGUCUGAAUUUUU
rfam:Picea glauca, whole genome shotgun sequence.